rnacentral:misc_RNA from 1 species
AAUCCUCGAGCGAAAAAGAAAGCAAGAGCAAUUAACCAAGGGAUUGGAUCGCCGAAAGCUGAAAAUGCAGCGGAGAAAGUUAAGGUUUUGGUGAGUACUGAAGCACCUAAACCCAUCAAGGCUACGGCGCCGAGAGGUAAAGGUUGCGUGAUAAUGCCGACAAUAGUGGCAAGAAAAAUGGCGAGUAGUUGCCAAGCAGGCUUCGAGACUCCAGAAGGAACGGGAACGAACCACAGAAUAACACCUGUGGCUAUUGACGCAAGUAAUGGCUUGAUAGCAGCGCCCUGCCAUGGCUGUGAGGAAGAAACAGAAGAGGCAGGUGAUGCUGCUGCGGCGGCGGAUGCUUUGACCGUUAAGUUCAAAAUUCUCCAUUUCUGAAAGAUUGCGGUGGCGGUGGCUGCAUUGGAUUUGGAGAAUUUUGGAAGGAAAUAAUUGGAGGGAGGAAAUCUGGUAUUAGCAGUGAGUUUAGGGAGGGAAGGAACGCGAUUUGGAGUGGAUCUGAGGUGGGAGAGAGAGCGAGACUUGUGAGAAGGGAGAGAAUUGAAGGCAAGAGAGCAAGAAGAAGAGGAUGUGAGAGCUAGGGACGCCAUUUUGGUUGUCUGCUCUCAGUUUCAGCGUUUCUGCU